GCCUAAAGCGUCCGUAGCCUGCUCUGUAAGUUUCCGGUUAGAUCCAUUAGCUCAACUAAUGGCCUGCCGGAAAUACUGCAGAGCUAGGAAGUGGGAGAGGUAGACGGUACUCGGUAGGAAGGGGUAAAAUCCUUUGAUCUAUUGAUGACCACCUGUGGCGAAGGCGGUCUACCAGAACACGUUCGACGGUGAGGGAUGAAAGCUGGGGGAGCAAACCGGAUUAGAUACCCGGGUAGUCCCAGCUGUAAACGAUGCAGACUCGGUGAUGCGCUGGCUUGUGGCCAGUGCAGUGCCGCAGGGAAGCCGUUAAGUUUGCCGCCUGGGAAGUACGUACGCAAGUAUGAAACUUAAAGGAAUUGGCGGGGGAGCACCACAAGGGGUGAAGCCUGCGGUUCAAUUGGAGUCAACGCCAGAAAUCUUACCCGGAGAGACAGCAGAAUGAAGGUCAAGCUGAAGACUUUACCAGACAAGCUGAGAGGUGGUGCAUGGCCGCCGCCAGCUCGUGCCGUGAGAUGUCCUGUUAAGUCAGGUAACGAGCGAGAUCCUUGCCUCUAGUUGCCACCAUUACUCUCAGGAGUAGUGGGGCGAAUUAGCGGGACCGCCGUAGUUAAUACGGAGGAAGGAAGGGGCCACGGCAGGUCAGUAUGCCCCGAA
rnacentral:rRNA from 1 species